GCUCCAGUGGUGCAAUCGGUUAGCGCAUGGUACUUAUAUGACAGUAUUAGAAAUGCCGAGGUUGUGAGUUCGAGCCUCACCUGGAGCA
rfam:Otolemur garnettii contig131203, whole genome shotgun sequence.